ensembl:lncRNA
UUGAGGUGUAGGCCUGGGACCAUUUACUCUGUUGAGGUGUAGGCCUGGGACCAUUUACUCUGUUGAGGUGUAGGCCUGGGACCAUUUACUCUGUUGAGGUGUAGGCCUGGGACCAUUUACUCUGUUGAGGUGUAGGCCUGGGACCAUUUACUCUAUUGAGGUGUAGGUCUGGGACCAUUUGCUCUGUUGAGGUGUAGACGGCUCCAGCCAGUACCCCGAGCCCAAUCUCCCCAGUGAAGGUACCACCAACUUCCUGUGGCCCAGGGAGCGCUAUCUGUCUGGUUGCGUAGCAGAAGGCUGGCACACAGGACCAGUAAGCUUUGUUGGCACGGUUUAAAUCCCAUUAUGUCUUAACUUGAUCCUUAAAUCCUCAGUCAGCUCCCCAUCUGUCAGUUUAUUUCAUCCUCAGUCAGAGCCGUCUGUCCGUCCGUCUUGGACAACAGAUGCAUAUUAAUAAUCCAGUUUGUUGUCUUGUCAGGAAGCCAUGUUGAAAACAUCAAUACAGGGAUGAUUGAAAAGAACUGCUCGUUUCAGUAUUUGUUAUACACAUUGUGAAAGUUUGAAGUUAGUGAGUGUCUCACUGAGACGUUAGAACCUACAAAUCUCUCCCUUAAGCUCUGUUUAGGGGAUAGAAGUGUACUUUUCAUUAGUGCAUGACAGUAGGCGUGUAACCCAUACCCACAGGCACUUCAUAUGGGGCCUGUUAGAGCCAGCUAUCCUCUCUGAGGAGAGACGGAUGAGAGGAGUGGGAGGGAGGAUGGAGGAGUGUGAAAUUAGGAGAGACCGGAAGAAAGAAACAACAGGAUGGAAAAACAUGUUAAGUAAACUGUGAAAGAAACCGUGGAAAGUGUAGAGUUAGACAUGAGGCGGUGAAGUGCUGUGCAUAACAAUUGUGGGAAUGUGUUUUGUGUAAGUCUGUUGAAUUGCUCUUUCGGGUAACAAAACCAGUUGAGGACACCAUAGAGAUAAAAACAUCGACCACGUUGUCACACAGAAAACCUGUGGGAUUCAGUAGUUAACAUCCAAUGCAGUCUCGUUUGAAGAGUGUUUCUGAAAAUACUUUGUUCAAUGUGUCCCUA